rnacentral:rRNA from 1 species
UACAGAGGUCUCGAGCGUUAGGCGGAAUCACUGGGCUUAAAGCGUGUGUAGGCGGGUCGUUAAGUCCCUUGUGAAAUCCCAUGGCUCAACCAUGGAACUGCUGGGUAUACUGGCGAUCUUGUGCAACCUAGGGGCGAGCGGAACAGAUGGUGGAGCGGUGAAAUGCGUAGAUAUCAUCUGGAACGCCAAUGGUGAAAACAGCUCGCUGGAGGUUUGCAGACGCUGAGACACGAAAGCCAGGGGAGCGAACGGG